rnacentral:lncRNA from 1 species
UCCCCGGCAGCGCCCUGUGGGAGCGCUGCUCGCUGCCGGCGUGGCCGGGAGCCCCGGGCGAGGAGACGGGGAGCGUCCCCUCGACAUCGCAAGUGCGGGCUGAGAAAGUAGUUGCAGACACUUUUUCAGUAUUCCUCCUGACUGUGGCCUUUUCUGAGUCUUAUAUAUUUACCUCUUCUAUGUGUGUGGAAACGCUGUUGAAGAAUUGAAGUCAAGUCAUUUCUUAAUGUGUGAAUAAAAUGGGGAAGCUCUAGAACCUUGAGAAUAAU